rnacentral:rRNA from 1 species
AGGAUAAACGCUGGCGGCGUGCCUAACACAUGCAAGUCGAACGCCCUACGCAAGUAGGGAGUGGCGGACGGGUGAGGAACACGUGGGUAAUCUGCCCUUCGGUGAGGAAUACCGGCGAGAAAUCGCCGACAAUACCGCAUGCGUUUCACGGAAGUGAAAGAAAGUCGUAAGACGCCGAGGGAUGAGCCUGCGCCCGAUUAGUUUGUUGGUGGGGUAAAAGCCUACCAAGACUACAAUCGGUAGCUGGUCUGAGAGGACGAUCAGCCACACUGGGAUUGAGAACGGCCCAGACUCCUACGGGGGGCAGCAGUGAGGAUUUCGUCAAUGGGGGCAACCCUGAACGAGCAACGCCGCGUGCAGGAAGAAGGUUUUCGGAUCGUAAACUGCUUUUCUGUGGGAAGAGAACGGACGGUACCACAGGAAGAGCCCCGGCUAACUACGUGCCAGCAGCCGC